CCCUUAGAUGUCCUGGGCCGCACGCGCGCUACACUGAUGCAUGCAACGAGUUUAUAACCUUGACCUGAAAGGUCUGGGUAAUCUUUUGAACGUGCAUCGUGAUAGGGAUAGAUUAUUGCAAUUGUUAAUCUUGAACGAGGAAUUCCUAGUAAACGCGAGUCAUCAGCUCGCAUUGAUUACGUCCCUGCCCUUUGUACACACCGCCCGUCGCACCUACCGAUUGAAUGGUUCGGUGAAGAUCUCGGACUUCGAUAUUUAUUCUUUAUUGAGUUUAUAUUGUGGGAAGUUAUCUAAACCUCAUCAUUUAGAGGAAGGUGAAGUCGUAACA
rnacentral:rRNA from 1 species